rnacentral:lncRNA from 1 species
AAAAAAAAAGAAGAGAAAAAGAGAAAAAAACAAAAAAAAAAAACAACAACAACAUGAAAAGAAAGGAAAAGAGGAUUGCAAAACCCUACAGGAAUAAUAGGAAAGAAACGUAGUGAGAGAAUGAUUUCAUGUACUCUGAACCAAAAACCGUUGUUCAAAUUUCAUACCCUACCUAAACCAAAGCCCCGUUACAACCCAAAAAGACCUCAAAAAGUGUGUGUGAUUGUACAUGUUGAUAGGAUGAGAGAAUUUAUUCAAACUUCUGAUUUGAUAUUGCAUAUUGUGAUUUGAGAGUGAUAACACUUUAACCCAGAGAGACUUGGUGAGAGUGUGAUAUAAGCUGACAGGUAAAGUCAUAUCUCUGAGGGAAAGAGUUUCUAGCUCGUUGGCUAUGUGGAAGAAUCAGAAAACCUGAAAAAACAUCAAGAGGUCCAGUGCGAAAGAUUUC